rnacentral:rRNA from 1 species
GACGAACGCUGGCGGCAUGCCUAAUACAUGCAAGUCGAGCGAACAGAUGAAGUGCUUGCACCUCUGACGUUAGCGGCGAACGGGUGAGUAACACGUAAGGAAUCUACCUAUAAGCGGGGGAUAACAUUCGGAAACGGGUGCUAAUACCGCAUAAUAUCCUCUUCCGCAUGGAAGGAGAUUGAAAGACGGCUCUGCUGUCACUUAUAGAUGACCUUGCGGUGCAUUAGUUAGUUGGUGGGGUAACGGCCUACCAAGACGAUGAUGCAUAGCCGACCUGAGAGGGUGAUCGGCACAUUGGGACUGAGACACGGCCCAAACUCCUACGGGAGGCAGCAGUAGGGAAUCUUCCGCAAUGGGCGAAAGCCUGACGGAGCAAUGCCGCGUGAGUGAAGAAGGCCUUCGGGUCGUAAAACUCUGUUAUAAGAGAAGAACAAAUUGUAGAGUAACUGCUACAGUCUUGACGGUAUCUUAUCAGAAAGCCACGGCUAACUACGUGCCAGCCGCCGCAGUAA